rnacentral:lncRNA from 1 species
CGGGCUUAAUAAGUGAUACAGUAGUAACUACUUAGACCACUUGCCACCUCAGAGGUCUACUUCAAGUAGAUACACAACAUUUAAAAUAGCUUUGAAUAAUUUAUGCAAAAUUUGGUAGAAAAGAUCUUGCCCUUGACUGGAACAAUAGGGGAUUGUUAUAUUCCUUUCAAGCAGUUUGUAAACCAAAGCUGUUACACCACAAC